rnacentral:rRNA from 1 species
UACGUAGGGGGCAAGCGUUGUCCGGAAUCAUUGGGCGUAAAGAGCUUGUAGGCGGUUUGUCGCGUCUGCUGUGAAAUUUCGGGGCUCAACCCCGAACUUGCAGUGGGUACGGGCAGACUAGAGUGUGGUAGGGGAGACUAGAAUUCCUGGUGUAGCGGUGAAAUGCGCAGAUAUCAGGAGGAACACCGAUGGCGAAGGCAGGUCUCUGGGCCAUAACUGACGCUGAGAAGCGAAAGCAUGGGGAGCGAACAGG